GUGUCAGCCGCCGCGGUAAUACGGAGGGUGCAAACGUUGCUCGGAAUCAUUGGGCGUAAAGCGCACGUAGGCGGUCCUUUAAGUCGGGUGUGAAAGCCCUCGGCUCAACCGAGGAAGUGCAUUCGAAACUGGGGGACUUGAAUACUGGAGAGGAUGGCGGAAUUCCCGGUGUAGAGGUGAAAUUCGUAGAUAUCGGGAGGAACACCAGCGGCGAAGGCGGCCAUCUGGACAGAUAUUGACGCUGAGGUGCGAAAGCGUGGGGAGCAAACAGGAUUAGAAACCCUUGUAGUCC
rnacentral:rRNA from 1 species